AGACACCGUUGACGGGCAAAUAUGAAAGAUUUUCUUGUUUUUUAUUUGUGGCAUCUUAUUGUAAGACCGUAACCUAUUUUGCCGUUUUCUCUAAGGAACACUGCAACAAGGACUUGUGUGGAUAGCGUGCUGCGCUGGUCUCGCCAACUGAAAAGAAUUCUGUGACAUUACGAGCCAACAAGGAAAACCUCAAUCCAUCCUGUCUCCACAUAUUAUCAAGUUUGUGCGCUGUGGAGCUUGAAGCACUUCUCAGAAUUUCAGCACACUCGCAUUUAUUUCUUUUCCGACAGAAGAACAAUGCAAGUCUCACAUCUUGAUGAGGGUGGCGAUUUACCCUCUCGCAUCUCGACGGUAAAACGUCGCAUCUGCGUACGUGUUCAGGGCCAAGAGCACGAGAACUGGCCGAAAGAAGGGAGCCGAUCCAACAAGAAUGCCGUCCGUUUUAUAUAUAUAUGUCAGCGCUAUCAUGCAGCGAUCACAUGGACUGUACGGUUGCGUUGCACAAGGGCUGAUGCAAACGCUCCGUGCGAACAAUGUUGCAUGUAAAAUUAGUGCAUCUAUACAAUUGCAAAAUAAACAUAUAAAGAGAGAAAACUUAUAUUCACGUCUUUCUGUUAUUGUGUGUUACGUAUUGACACGUUAGUGCAGACCGUUAAAGGCGUUUAAUUCCGUCUUACAUGUGCACUCUGCCCGUAAUUAAUUCAGAUAGAGUUAAACACCUCUAUAAACUGCCCGUUCACAUUAAAUACGACACGCAUCAACACACAAGAAAAACAAUUGAUGCGUUUUGUUAGAACACGCACAAAAAAUAAGAAAAAAAAAGCAGAGCAAUACUAGCGAGGAACGUCCGCAACCGACC